AGUGAACGCUGGCGGUAGGCCUAACACAUGCAAGUCGAACGGCAGCACAGUAAGAGCUUGCUCUUACGGGUGGCGAGUGGCGGACGGGUGAGGAAUACAUCGGAAUCUACUUUUUCGUGGGGGAUAACGUAGGGAAACUUACGCUAAUACCGCAUACGACCUACGGGUGAAAGCAGGGGAUCUUCGGACCUUGCGCGAUUGAAUGAGCCGAUGUCGGAUUAGCUAGUUGGCGGGGUAAAGGCCCACCAAGGCGACGAUCCGUAGCUGGUCUGAGAGGAUGAUCAGCCACACUGGAACUGAGACACGGUCCAGACUCCUACGGGAGGCAGCAGUGGGGAAUAUUGGACAAUGGGCGAAAGCCUGAUCCAGCCAUACCGCGUGGGUGAAGAAGGCCUUCGGGUUGUAAAGCCCUUUUGUUGGGAAAGAAAAGCAGCAGGUUAAUACCCCGCUGUUCUGACAGUACCCAAAGAAUAAGCACCGGCUAACUUCGUG
rnacentral:rRNA from 1 species